GACGAACGCUGGCGGCGUGCCUAAUACAUGCAAGUAGAACGCAGUUGCGAACGGGUGAGUAACGCGUCGGUAACUGCCUCAUAGCGGGGGAUAACUAUUGGAAACGAUAGCUAAUACCGCCUACUGGGACAUGGAUCGGCGUUGUAUUAGGUAGUUGGUGGGGUAAAGGCGCACCAAGGUCACGAUACAUAGCCGAACUGAGAGGGUGAUCGGCCAAACUGGGACUGGGAACCGGCCCAGACUCCUUCUGGAGGCAGCAGUAGGGGAUCUUCGGCAAUGGACGGAAGUCUGACCGAGCAACGCCGCGGGAGUGAAGAAGGUUUUCGGGUCGUAAAGCUCUGUUGUUAGAGAAGCGGUAACUAACGAGAAAGGGACGGCUAACUACGUGCCAGCCGCCGCGGUAAUUC
rnacentral:rRNA from 1 species